rnacentral:misc_RNA from 1 species
UCUUCUCUCUCUCUCUCUCUCUCGCUCUCUCUCUUUAAUUGAUGCAACUCUAUGUGAUUCUGAUGUGAAAUUUAUGGUGUUUGGCUUUCAUCUCACACAUGCCUCUUUUUGCAAUUAUUAAUGCUAACCAGUCAUUUUCCUUUUCAAAUUACUUUGAGAUACAAGUUGGAGAUUUAUCUAAUAUGGUUGCUUCGUAUUCAUAUUAUUUAGUUGGAGACAGAAGAUGGAAAGCAAAGUUGUCUGCCAUUAGUAUGCUUUAUAAUUAUUAGAAAGGGGUUUCAUGAUGGAAGAUACAUUUUCUGAUGCUCAGAAAGGUGGCCAUGCUGGAGAGGGUUCAUCAUCAAAUAACUCCAACAAGGAUGGACGAUUAUCAGGUGACAAUGAUUUGAAUUGUUCAGAAUCAAAAUCAAAAAGUUUAGUGAGAAGGAAAAAUUCACAACACACUCUGAUUUUGAAAGUAAAGCAAUCACAACGCAGCAGAAGUUACAUUAAGGAAUCUUUUCUUCGAAGCAUUUGUGUCUUGGAGAGUUGGAUCCCAAAGCAUAUGGUAACUGUAGAUGAGAAAUAUCUUCGUCGUUGCCUAGAAUUAAUUCAUAUCAGUGCUUCAAAAGCAGCCCCUAGCAAUAUCUCCCUAAACUUGGGAUGGGGAGAAAUGGGCAUUUUGUCUGAUGGCUUGAGUCCAGCUAAAAUAGAGACUGAAAAUACAUGUGAUUUCACUAGGUUUCAUUUUGACUGUCCGUUGGCACCUGGGAAUGGGAGUGUGGUUAUUAGUCCAGCAGGACACUGGAUUGUUGGUUCCAUCAUGGGUAGCAAGAGUAUGGUAAAUAUACUUAACAGCCCUUUGUUUCACAAAUGUGGUGCAUACGAUGGCGAUGCCAACUAUGAGAAAGUUAGUUUCAGUGAUGUUGAUGGAUCUACAUGUUAUGAUUUCAUGAACUCUCCGGGUGUGUUGAGUAAUUAUUCAUCCAACAAGCUAUGCAAGGAAGCAUCAGUUCCGGGGAACCAUAAAUAUGAAUCUGAGACUCUGCAUGGAAGGCCUGCUUCUGUGUCAAGUACAAACUCUACAUGUUCUGAUCAGUCGUCAUCAUCUCUCUCUGCCCCUGUUACUCAAGGAAUGCUCCAAUGCACGUGGAAGGGGGGGAGCCCGCAUUUUGUUUUCUCUCUGGAUGAUCAAAAGGUGGUUUAUGUGGCCAACUUGUGGAAGGUUGAAUCAGCAGAUGAUAAAGCUGUGGACUAUACAUACCUAUUCCAUUUAAGGAUGGGUGGCCAAAAGGAACAUGAGAUUCAUGACAGUGACUCUCAUCUUGUAGGUAAGAUGAAGGUAUCAACUUCUUUUACCCUGUGCCCAAAUAAAUCUAGAAUAAUGGAGAGAGAGUUUGUUUUAUUUGGUGCUAAUGAAAAUCUUUUGCGAAUGCAAACUUCAAGCCAUGACCUCAAAAAGAGCAAGGGAUUGUCAAAGAAGGUGGCGGAAGUGUUCCGGAGCAGUCACUCAAUGAAGAAGAGAAAUACUUCCAGAUUUAGUGGAUCAAGUGCCAUAAUGGAGAGUUGUCCUUGGGAGCCAUUUCAAGAUACAGAUAACAAUGUUGAUGCACUUUGUGGGCCCAAUCUUUUAGAGAAUCAUCUUCCACCAAAUCUUGAAUUAGUUGCCAUUGUUGUGAAGGACCAUCUUCCUGAUAAUCACCAAGAGAAGGUUGGAGGUUGGGGCUUGAAGUUUCUAAAGAAAUCAAGUGUAAAGCAAACAGAUGAUCUCAUGGAAUCCUCACAACCUCAUGCUUGUUCUAUGCGAGAUACUGGUGACUGCUCAACAAGUAUGGAUGUUCUUAUUCCAGCUGGUCUUCAUGGUGGUCCAAGGGCCAGAAAUGGUGGUCCUUCCAGUCUUAUUGAAAGAUGGAGAUCAGGUGGAUGUUGUGACUGUGGUGGCUGGGACCUAGGGUGCCCAUUAACGGUACUUAAGAAAAGAUUGAGUAACAAAGAGCUUUCACCCCAAGCAGAUAUUCAGGGAGAGUGCAAGUUAGUUGAUUUGAUCAUACAGGGUUCAGAGAACAGUGCUCCCCCCUUGAGGAUGGUGAAUGUGCAUAAUGGCUUGUAUUUUGUUAAUUUUCAGUCAACACUGUCAGCUUUGCAGGCUUUCUCAAUUGCAGUGGCAUUUAUUCAUACCCAGAGUCCUGCUUUCCGACCCCAAAAUGUACAGGGAUGAAAGUAGCAAGAUCCAGGAUUGAGGUUUAUAUAGUUAUUGUAACUCCCUUACUGUAUUACAGCACUUCGUAAGUCAAUAUUUAAGUAUUUGUACACAAAUUUAGAAGUUAGUUUCUGUCAUUUUCUGGUUAGUUUUGAAUAGUGUCAGAUUGUCUUCUUAUCAUAGGUUUUUUGUUUCCUGCUACUGCUACUGCAAGUGAUUGAGAUUGUUUAUCCUUUGAUUUUCGGACAAGAAAACUAAUGUAACCUACUCUGUUCUGAUUGAGUGUACAUUUUUUUUUUGUUGGAAAAGUGUACAAGUGUUUGAUAAGGAGAAUUCAAACUGAAUGUCUUGGUCCCUUUAUAAUGUGUAGGACUGAAAUUGAUCUAGCCUUUUGUGGAUUAAUUGGCUGGGGAAUUCAAAGCACUAUAAGAAUUAAUGUGAAGUUAUUAUCUCAACUUUUAAUUUUGAAGAGGAUACUGGUUUUCCUUCUGUAAAGUGAUUCUUUGUUUAACUUGUUUCUUUACCCACUAAAGUACUUCUGCUAACAUAAUUGAAGUCUGAUAGAUGUGGUGUACUUUAUUGUUGAGUAGGUGCGAAUUAACAUUAAAUGUGGGUUUCUCUUUGGUUCAUUACUGUAUUAAUGGCAGUUUUGGCUACCUUAUUUUCUUCUCAAGAGCAGCUGUUGGGUACACUUUGCAAAUGAUUUGAUUCUUGAUGCUUCUUAAUACUGCACAUUAGGAGGUCAUGGCUUCAAUUGAUUAAAUCCAUGGACCAUCUUCUAAACAAAAAUAGCAAGGAUCCCUUUUACUAGUUUUGAAUUCAAACCUCUUAAAAUUUGGACCUCUUGCAUUUGGAGGUAAUUUGAACUUUGUAUUUAUUGCACCUGUAAUUUUAACCGGCAACCUUUCUCCAUGAAAUCAUAUGUUUUUGCAGAGAUUAAAUAUGAUCCUAACGGGCUAUUUUGCAUUCAACUGGGUGGAAGCUUAGACGACACAUCAAUCGGGUUUAUUUCAGGUCUUUCUACUUCUACUCACUUGUUAAAGUAGUAUAUUUUACUGUUCUCAAAAAGCUAGCUGUGGUCACCAAUGUUCAUUUAUGCAGCUUUCUUAAACUUAACACAUGACCUUUCGAUUCCAUGUAAUUUUGUUGUUUCCUUCUUUUAUUAAUUUUCCUUUCUAAUCACAUUUAAUGUCAAGGGAUAUGUAUUGACAAUAACUUGUUUUAUACAGAAAAUUCAUGUAUCAGGCUUGUGAUAACAAAUUCAAGGGGUCAUCUUUUAUGAAAUUUUAAAUAUAUGUUGUACAUAUUUCUUGCAAGAACAUGCAUGGUUCUGCAAGCUCAUGGAAAAGUACUCUAUUUCUGAAGAUUUUUCUUCUUUAUUUAUUUAUUUAUUUUUUGUAAAGAAUUUUGUUUUGGUAUCCUGGUGAAAACCUUAUUCGCCCUCUAGUUGUGGUGCUGGGAUGAAAGCUUCAGUUGGAGAGGUAUAUUUUUUUCACAUAAUUGAAGUGAGUGGAUGUUGAGUCAUGUAUAAAGGAAUAAGAGAACAAUCAAUUAUGGCUAAAGUUGGGCAGCUGGUUCGUCGUUAUAGUCUAAAGGGUUUCGUUUACCUAUUGAUUGUAGAAUGGGAAGGGUGAAGCUAAAGAUAAAGAGGUUAGAGAGCACCAGCAAUCGGCAAGUGACCUAUUCAAAACGAAGGAAUGGAAUCUUGAAGAAAGCUAAGGAAUUGUCUAUAUUAUGCGACAUAGAUAUUGUCCUUCUCAUGUUUUCUCCAACGGGAAGGCCUACUUUAUAUCAAGGAGAGCACAGGUGAACAAACUAUUGUGCAUUUCACUUUCCUUUUGCUUAAACAUAACUCAGAAAAACAUUCGUGCACCUAUGACUAUCAAGGCGACUAUCAAGGCAACUGGUGUGAAUGACUACAAUCAUGGAAAAUGAUGAACUUUAUUAUUGUUUCACUAUUACAAAUAAAAUUGAGCGCCUAUGUUUGAAUAAUCUCAUUUUCAGUGGCAAGUAUUCCAAAUGCCUCAGAAAACUGAAAAGUCAGAGAAUUAGUGUUUUCUUUUUUCUCUUUUACUUUUACAGCAACAUUGAAGAUGUUAUUGCAAAAUUUGCUCAAUUAACUCCGCAGGAAAGGGCCAAAAGGUAUGAGACUUGUAUCGAAAUUUUGAGCUUUUUUGUUUAGAACUUAGCAGUUUGGUUGGAUUUUUGUGGUAAUAUAGCUAAGAGUUUCCAUAUAAUUGGAACAGGAAAGUGGAGAGCCUUGAAGUGAGAUAACCGUGAUCCAUACUCCGAAAUGUCAUUUUUGUUGUAAUGCUUUUUCUUGUUGGUCCAUAUUGGACGUUUAACAUUUUGUCUUCAAUUCAUAUAAUCAAUUUGGUUUUCUUCUUGAGAAUAUAGGUAUUGAAGAAAACCUUCAAGAAGUUGGACCAUGAUGUGAAUAUGCAAGACUUUUUGGGUUCAAGCACUCAAACAGUUGAGGAGUUGACCAAUCAAGUUAAGUUUUUGCAAGCGCAACUUACAGAAAUACAUAAUAGAAUGAGCUAUUGGAGUAACCCUGGUAAGGUUGAUAGCAUAGAACAUCUUAGUCAGAUGGAAGAAUCGCUAAAAGAGUCUAUUAACCAAAUCCGUCUGCAAAAGGAAAAUUUUGGGAGUUGCCAACUUGUGCGACUAGAAUGCAGUAGCCAGUUUCAGAAUGGAAUGGAUUUACCUUUGAUGAUAAAUGGCAUGCAAGAGGCCCAACCACUAUCAUGGCUUCCAAACAAUGGCAAUCAGCAUCUGAUAUUAUCCAAUGAGCAGAACUUUUUGCCUCAAAGGUUACUGUUCCUCAAUUUUGUAUCUUUGGAUUCAGUGUCCCAGUACCUUGUAAAGUUGUAAUCAAUGUCUGGCUGGAAGAUCAUCAUCCUGAAAGUAAAUUUUGCUUAAAAAGCAUACAUCACUUGGGUAUUAACGUUAGUAGUACAAAGUUGUGGUCAAGCCACUGCAGAACAACUCUUAUUAAUGCAUAUUAUUUCUUUUAAGAUGCUACUAACUGAUAACACCUGUUAUUUUCCCCCCUUUUUCGUUCCUUUAAAAUUUGUUAACUGCUUACUUGGUAAACAGGUUUCUGUUUUCUUUCAUAAUUUCUUGUUACCUUUAUAAUUGGCCUCGUUCUGUUUUCUACAGAGAUAAAGAAUGCUCAACUGAUGCAUCCCUUCCAGGCUAUUCUGUUUACUAUGAUACUGGCAAACAUACUGAAAUUGGAAAUCCGAGACCAGUUGAUAACAUCGGGCAGGGCAGUGCUGUUUUUAGCAAUUUAAGUAGUAAUACAUGUUUAAGUGUACAACUUGAUGAACAGUUCUCAUACCCUCCAUUUAGUAGUUUAAAUUUGCCUGAAGUUAAGAAAAUGAAGCCUGAGAUGCAGAUGAACUCCCAAGGAUCCAAUUAUGUUUAUCAAGUUAAUAGCAAUUUUGAACUGCCUAGACCCAUACAUAACAAUGUCCAUCAUACUUGGAUUUCUGCAUCUGGGUCUUGCAGCAUUGCAACGUUUAAUGAGAACUAAUAUCACCAGCAAUCAAGUUGACUCUAGUGAGUUAAACAUUAUUUUUCCUUUGAUGGGAAGAAUGAUUGCAGACCUGGUGUUUAACAGAGCUGAUUGCCGAAAAAGGAUUCAUAUAGCCGACCCCAACUAGUUUAGGAUUAAGGCUAAGUUGUUGUUCUGGAUCAGUAAUUUAAAGCCAGGGAGGUUCUAGGACAGGAUUUUGAUACAUGGAAGAUAAAUCAAUAGAUAAAUUGAGAACCAUCUGGAUGUUCUCGGCCAUCCAAUAUUUUAGGUUGUUAGCUGUAUAAAUGAUAUACACAUUGCAUAGUUACCAGGUCAUCUGUAUAUAUGUUAUCUCUACAUGUAGCAAGAAUUAGUUUCUGGCAACAGACUCCAAUCACACAAGUUGUAUAUCUAUAAAUUUUGUAUAAAAAUGAAAGCAACUUGAGCCAUAGUUUCAUUUUUAUAG